GACGAACGCUGGCGGCGUGCCUAAUACAUGCAAGUAGAACGCUGAAGGAGGAGCUUGCUUCUCUGGAUGAGUUGCGAACGGGUGAGUAACGCGUAGGUAACCUGCCUGGUAGCGGGGGAUAACUAUUGGAGACGAUAGCUAAUACCGCAUAAUAGCAGUUGUUGCAUGACAACUGUUUGAAAGGUGCAAUUGCACCACUACCAGAUGGACCUGCGUUGUAUUAGCUAGUUGGUGGGGUAACGGCUCACCAAGGCGACGAUACAUAGCCGACCUGAGAGGGUGAUCGGCCACACUGGGACUGAGACACGGCCCAGACUCCUACGGGAGGCAGCAGUAGGGAAUCUUCGGCAAUGGACGGAAGUCUGACCGAGCAACGCCGCGUGAGUGAAGAAGGUUUUCGGAUCGUAAAGCUCUGUUGUAAGAGAAGAACGAGUGUGAGAGUGGAAAGUUCACACUGUGACGGUAUCUUACCAGAAAGGGACGGCUAACUACGUG
rnacentral:rRNA from 1 species